ACGUUCGCGCUCGCCAGCGGUGCGCGCGGUGGGACCGUGCGCCUCGAGGGAAUCCGGUGCGAAUCCGGAGCUGCCCCGCAGCGGUGUGCAGGAACGAACGCCGUCCCGAGCACUGGAGGAAUGGUCCUCCGGGAAGCGACGGCCAGUAGAGACCGGAUCGGCUCGAACGCGAUCCGAGCGCCUGCGAGCCCGAAGACCUGCCGACGGUGUCGCGCGAGA
rnacentral:ncRNA from 1 species